AAGUCUCUUAACCCUAUUGAUCUCAGUUUCCUCAUCUGGAGAAAGAAAUGGUGAAUAACUCCAGCAUCUUUUCCAAGGAAACCCUAAAUGGAUCAUGAAGAAUUGCAUAGAAUUGAAAUGAAUGAGCAGCAAUGGCAAAUGAGGAAUGUUGAUUAGAUCUGGAAGAAAAAAUGAUCCUUCUCUUUGAAAAAGGCAUCCUUCUGUUGACCAAAGGGGCUGGCAGUGCUUAGAUUUUGGAAGAUCAGACAUUGAAGAACUGAGCAUAUCUAGAUCCUGGCAAAAAGGAACAAGAAAAAGACAAGCAAUCUCCAUUAGACUGGUGACGCCAUCUUAUUUCCCUGGAAAAGAAGCAUGGAUAUAUUGGCUUUUGGAUAUCAGAAGGAGCAGCCCAACCCUGAUUGUGCCCAGUAGAAUGUGAGCUCCUUGAUGAAAGGUACUCUUUUUCAUUCUUCUUAGCUGUCUCCAGCACCUAGCAAUAUUUUGCAAAUUAUAACUGUUCAAUGAAAACUUGUCAUGUUUUUUUUGUGAGGGCAGGGGUCUGGAUUUGAUUUCAUUAGCAUGGGAAACUCUCUGUAGUGAGAAAAUGUCUCUUAUCAACUCAGAUCAGCAUAUAUUUUGCAACCUAGAGCCUUAGAGAGUUGCCAGAGGGCACUGUGACUUGAUGAUGAGAUUUUCCCACAAUUACCCAGCCAAUCUCUACUAAUGACAAGACUUGAAACCAGAUAUUUCUAACUCAAGGCCAGUUCUCUAUCAACAACCCCCAAGCUGUAUCUCUGUUGGAUUGAUUAUGCAAAUGAAAAUCAUUCUAUUUGGAAGAUAUUCCCCAACAUGUCAACAGUCCAUCAUAACUUUCCUUAAUAGGGGAAUUUAUCCAACUAUUUAGUAGUACAAUUUGUGGCUAGCCCAUAUUAUUGGAUGAAUCAAUGAGUCAAUUGACAAGACAACAAAUAAAUUACCAGAUGCAUACA
rnacentral:lncRNA from 1 species